GUGGGGAAUAUUGCACAAUGGGGGAAACCCUGAUGCAGCGACGCCGCGUGAGUGAAGAAGUAUUUCGGUAUGUAAAGCUCUAUCAGCAGGGAAGAAAAUGACGGUACCUGACUAAGAAGCCCCGGCUAACUACGUGCCAGCAGCCGCGGUAAUACGUAGGGGGCAAGCGUUAUCCGGAAUUACUGGGUGUAAAGGGUGCGUAGGUGGUAUGGCAAGUCAGAAGUGAAAACCCAGGGCUUAACUCUGGGACUGCUUUUGAAACUGUCAGACUAGAGUGCAGGAGAGGUAAGCGGAAUUCCUAGUGUAGCGGUGAAAUGCGUAGAUAUUAGGAGGAACAUCAGUGGCGAAGGCGGCUUACUGGACUGAAACUGACACUGAGGCACGAAAGCGUGGGGAGCAAACAGGAUUAGAUACCCUAGUAGUCC
rnacentral:rRNA from 1 species